rnacentral:rRNA from 1 species
CCUACGGGAGGCAGCAGUGGGGAAUCUUCCGCAAUGGACGAAAGUCUGACGGAGCAACGCCGCGUGAGUGAAGAAGGUUUUCGGAUCGUAAAGCUCUUUCGUUAGGGACGAACGUGCUCUUUGUGAAUAAUGAGGAGUAAUGACGGUACCUAAAUAAGAAGCCACGGCUAACUACGUGCCAGCAGCCGCGGUAAUACGUAGGUGGCAAGCGUUGUCCGGAAGUAUUGGGCGUAAAGCGCGCGCAGGCGGGUUAAAAGUGCGAGGCUCAACCUCGUGAGGGGACGGAAACUGGUAUUCUUGAGUGUCGGAGAGGAAAGUGGAAUUCCAAGUGUAGCGGUGAAAUGCGUAGAGAUUUGGAAGAACACCAGUGGCGAAGGCGACUUUCUAGACGAUGUCUGACGCUGAGGCGCGAAAGCUAGGGGAGCGAACGGGAUUAGAUACCGUGUAGUC